UAAUACCGGAUAGAUCAAAGAUACUGGAAUGUUCUCUGGUCUAAAACUCUGGUGCCCAAGGAUGGGUCUGCGGCCUAUCAGGUAGUAGUGGGUGUAACGUACCUACUAGCCUACGACGGGUAAGGGUUGUGAGAGCAAGAGCCCUGAGAUGGAUUCUGAGACAUGAAUCCAGGCCCUACGGGGUGCAGCAGGCGCGAAAACUUUACACUGCGGGAAACCGCGAUAAGGGGACCCCGAGUGCCAGCACCUAGUGCUGGCUGUCCAGCUGUCCAAAUAACAGUUGUUAGCAAGGGCCGGGCAAGACCGGUGCCAGCCGCCGCGGUAACACCGGCGGCCCGAGUGGUAACCGAUUUUAUUGGGUUUAAAGGGUCCGUAGCCGGCCUGUUAAGUCUCUUGGGAAAUCUGGCGGCUCAAUCGUCAGGCGUCC
rnacentral:rRNA from 1 species